AGAGUUUGAUCAUGGCUCAGAUUGAACGCUGGCGGCAUGCUUUACACAUGCAAGUCGAACGGCAGCGCGGGGCAACCUGGCGGCGAGUGGCGAACGGGUGAGUAAUAUAUCGGAACGUACCCAAGAGUGGGGGAUAACGUAGCGAAAGUUACGCUAAUACCGCAUACGAUCUAAGGAUGAAAGUGGGGGAUUCGCAAGAACCUCAUGCUCCUGGAGCGGCCGAUAUCUGAUUAGCUAGUUGGUAGGGUAAAGGCCUACCAAGGCGACGAUCAGUAGCUGGUCUGAGAGGACGACCAGCCACACUGGAACUGAGACACGGUCCAGACUCCUACGGGAGGCAGCAGUGGGGAAUUUUGGACAAUGGGCGCAAGCCUGAUCCAGCAAUGCCGCGUGAGUGAAGAAGGCCUUCGGGUUGUAAAGCUCUUUUGUCAGGGAAGAAACGGUUGAGGCUAAUAUCCUCGGCUAAUGACGGUACCUGAAGAAUAAGCACCGGCUAACUACGUGCCAGCAGCCGCGGUAAUACGUAGGGUGCAAGCGUUAAUCGGAAUUACUGGGCGUAAAGCGUGCGCAGGCGGUUUUGUAAGUCUGUCGUGAAAGCCCCGGGCUCAACCUGGGAAUUGCGAUGGAGACUGCAAGGCUUGAAUCUGGCAGAGGGGGGUAGAAUCCCACGUGUAGCAGUGAAAUGCGUAGAGAUGUGGAGGAACACCGAUGGCGAAGGCAGCCCCCUGGGUCAAGAUUGACGCUCAUGCACGAAAGCGUGGGGAGCAAACAGGAUUAGAUACCCUCGUAGUCC
rnacentral:rRNA from 1 species